rnacentral:rRNA from 1 species
UUGGGAGCUCUCCCAUAUGGUCGACCUGCAGGCGGCCGCGAAUUCACUAGUGAUUCGUAUUACCGCGGCUGCUGGCACGGAGUUAGCCGGAGCUUAUUCUCCCGAUACUGUCAUUAUCAUCUCGGGUAAAAGAGCUUUACAACCCUAAGGCCCUCAUCACUCACGCGGCAUUGCUGGAUCAGGCUUUCGCCCAUUGUCCAAUAUUCCCUACUGCUGCCUCCCGUAGGAGUCUGGGCCGUGUCUCAGUCCCAGUGUGGCUGAUCAUCCUCUCAGACCAGCUAAGGAUCGUUGCCUUGGUGAGCCUUUACCCCACCAACUAGCUAAUCCUACGCGGGCUCAUCCCUGGGCGAUAAAUCUUUGGACUUUCGUCAUCAUCCGGUAUUAGCUUCAGUUUCCCGAAGUUAUUCCGAACCCAAGGGCAGAUUCCCACGCGUUACGCACCCGUGCGCCACUAGACCCGAAGGUCUCGUUCGACUUGCAUGUAUUAGGCAUGCCGCCAGCGUUCGUUCUGAGCCAUGAUCAAACUCUAAUCGAAUUCCCGCGGCCGCCAUGGCGGCCGGGAGCA